UCGGAGAGUUUGAUUCUGGCUCAGAACGAACGCUGGCGGCGUGGAUAAGACAUGCAAGUCGAACGGAGAAUAUUCGGUAGCAAUACUGGGUAUUUUUAGUGGCGAAAGGGUGCGUAACACGUGGGUAAUCUACCGUAAAGUUCGGAAUAACUUCGAGAAAUCAAAGCUAAUACCGAAUGUGAUCUGACAGGGACAUCCCUGUUCCAUUAAAGCUAGGGACCUUCGGGCCUGGCGCUUUACGAUGAGCCCGCGCCCUAUCAGCUUGUUGGUGAGGUAAAAGCUCACCAAGGCUAAGACGGGUAGCCGGUCUGAGAGGACGAUCGGCCACACUGGAACUGAGACACGGUCCAGACACCUACGGGUGGCAGCAGUCGAGAAUCAUUCACAAUGGGGGAAACCCUGAUGGUGCGACGCCGCGUGGGGGAUGAAGGUCUUCGGAUUGUAAACCCCUGUCAUUUGUGAACAAACCUUUUGGUUUAAUAGAUCAAAAGCUGAUAGUAGCAAAAGAGGAAGGGACGGCUAACUCCGUGCCAGCAGCCGCGGUAAUACGGAGGUCCCAAGCGUUGUUCGGAUUUACUGGGCGUAAAGGGUGCGUAGGUGGCCAGGAAAGUUUGAUGUGAAAGCUCCGAGCUCAACUCGGAAAAUGCAUUGAAUACUACUUGGCUUGAGGAUCGGAGGGGAGACUGGAAUUCUCGGUGUAGCAGUGAAAUGCGUAGAUAUCGAGAGGAACACCAGUGGCGAAGGCGAGUCUCUGGACGAUUCCUGACACUGAGGCACGAAAGCUAGGGGAGCAAACAGGAUUAGAUACCCUGGUAGUCCUAGCAGUAAACGGUGUGCACUUGCUGUAGGGCGGUUCGACCCGCUCUGUGGCGGAGCUAACGCGUUAAGUGCACCGCCUGGGGAGUACGGCCGCAAGGUUAAAACUCAAAGAAAUUGACGGGGGCCUGCACAAGCGGUGGAGCAUGUGGCUUAAUUCGAUGCAACGCGAAGAACCUUACCUGGGCUUGACAUGUUUGUCAUAGUCCCGUGAAAGCGGGACGUCAGUUCGGCUGGACAAUCACAGGUGCUGCAUGGCUGUCGUCAGCUCGUGUCGUGAGAUGUUGGUUUAAGUACCGCAACGAGCGCAACCCCUGUGUCCUGUUGCCACGGAGAACACGUUUCUCCAGCACUCCGGACAGACUGCCUCAUUUGAAUGAGGAGGAAGGUGGGGAUGACGUCAAGUCAGUAUG
rnacentral:rRNA from 1 species